rnacentral:lncRNA from 1 species
CCGCUCCGCUCCUGGACAAAAGACCUUUGAGAGCGAAUUCUGCAGAGAGAGUCUCUCUGAAAACACACCUCAGAAUUGUCCAGUUCUGUCCCAGACACACGACAACACUGGAGCAGAGGUCAGGACGUCUCCAGGUGUUCCUGGGCUUUGGGUGAUCAUUUCAGCGAGCACUAGGUCCUGUACGUUAUAAGUACCUCCCAAGGCACAGUGAGGAACACAAGAUAAAUAAGAUUCAGACCCUAUUCUCAAAGAACUUAGACUCUAUUUGGAAAUUUCAAGCAGUGCACAUUGAAUCAUGGAUCCGCUCUAAGACAGCAUUCAAGCAGGUACAGGAGACCUGAUCCACACUCUGGGGGUGACGUUCAAAGAAGGCGGUAGGCCCAGCAGGGGUGGAAGGGACAAGGAAGGGUUCCCACAGAAGAGGGACACCAGAGAGGCCUGAGAGGCGGCGCAACAGAGGGGAGGCAAGAAGACACAGAGCAGAAAUUAGCAUCGUGUGUCUUGGGAUCAAGAAGAAAAAUCUGUGCCUUCUGUAACCGCAGGAUAAUUACGAGGGGG